rnacentral:rRNA from 1 species
CAGCCGCCACGGUAAAACGUAGGUGGCAAGCGUUGUCCGGAAUUAUUGGGCGUAAAGGGCUCGCAGGCGGUUUCUUAAGUCUGAUGUGAAAGCCCCCGGCUCAACCGGGGAGGGUCAUUGGAAACUGGGAAACUUGAGUGCAGAAGAGGAGAGUGGAAUUCCACGUGUAGCGGUGAAAUGCGUAGAGAUGUGGAGGAACACCAAUGGCGAAGGCGACUCUCUGGUCUGUAACUGACGCUGAGGAGCGAAAGCGUGGGGAGCGAACAGGAUUAGAGACCCCCGUAGUCCCUGUCUCUUAUAA